rnacentral:lncRNA from 1 species
CUCUCCUCUAGUUUCCUCUCUUUAGUUUCCUCUCCUCUAGUUUCCUCUCCUUUAGUUUCCUCUCCUCUAUUUCCUCUCCUCUAGUUUCCUCUCUUUAGUUUCCUCUCCUUUAGUUUCCUCUCCUUUAGUUUCCUCUCCUUUAUUCCCUCUCCUUUAGUUUCCUCUCCUCUAGUUACCUCUCUUUAGUUUCCUCUCCUUUAGUUUCCUCUCCUCUAGUUUCCUCUCCUUUAGUUUCCUCUCUUUAGUUUCCUCUCUUUAGUUUCCUCUCCUUUAGUUUCCUCUCCUUUAGUUUCCUCUCUUUAGUUUCCUCUCCUUUAGUUUCCUCUCUUUAGUUUCCUCUCCUUUAGUUUCCUCUCCUUCAUCUGCACUUUCUUUUCAUUUCCUUUCCUUCAUCAUCAUUAUAUAUGAACCUGAUUUCUCCACUAAUUUCCUGUCAUUUCCUUUCUGUUCCUUUCCUACCCUCCUUUCCUUGACUUCAUCUGGAAAUAAGGGACAGGUACCAUCAGAGUCCUGAUAGACAUCUGUCAUUCUGUUUCAUCUAUAUAGUAGUG